UACCAACAUGUUAAAAGGUAUGUAACGUUAUUAUAAUCAUAAGAGUAACUAACAGUGACUUACUUUUUGUAUUUAAAAAAAAACCUUUUUCAAAAUAUAAUCUGCAUUUUAACUGCUACAACUGUUUUACAUUUUUUAAGUUGUAAGAACAUAUAGUGUAAAUACAUUUUUUUAUCAUAUUGUUAGAAGCAAUCAUCAUAGUUCGUACACUUGUGUUUGGUUCGUCUGAAAGUCUAUUCCUGCUUUAUCUUCACCAGGAGCGCUAAAACCAAUAAAUGUAAAUACCAAAGAUGUAAUAAAAUUUGACAUGAAAAAAUAAACAAACCCAUGUGAAGUCAACUUUCUUAGAUAUAUUCCAAAUUAUGUUCAACAUUUUAUAUUAAAUAUACAUUAUGUCACCUUUUCCUAUUUUUUGCAUUUCUCAAUUCAAUGGUUAUGGUUUCAGUUAUACAUACCAGUAGCAAGAGAGGGUUCGGGGGUUCGGGGAUUCGGACGACCCCCUUGAAAGCAAAUAAGCACUGUUAAAAUCAACAUUCUGUUUGAGUUGUGUCUGUUCAAGUUAAGUUCGUGAGUCGAAAUAACCCCCUUUUAAAAUUUCUGGCUACGGGCCUGAGUUAGACAUCUUUUGAACCUAUGCGCUAUUGGUAGUAGUAUACAGAUAUUCGGAUUUUGAUGAAUCUUGAAAGAGUUGCUUUUUUUUUGUUAUACUAAGAAUGAACCGCUCUCAAUAUCCCUCUUUCUAAGAAGUGACAGAUUUCAGAAAAGAUUUCAUAGACUGAUCGUUAGUAUCAAAAUACAAACAAAAGCUGAGGUGAACGCUAUUUGUGUAUUCAAAACAUAUUAUACGGUUUCGAAAUGAAAAACAUGAACCUAAAAUAUAUUUUAACAGGUAAAUAGAGCUUUCAAUAUUGGAACAUUGCUCGCUAUUGUCUUUUGAGACUUUAGAUUGUCCUGAUAAGUACUCAAUGCAAACGUUGUAACUACAAGUGAUACAAGAGAUGUUAUUAAUUUAUAGGCCAUCAGAAGUUAGUUGAGAAAAAAAUGUGACAGAUCUUUGAUAAGGUUUCCCUAAACAAUAUCUGUAAAUUCCCAUCACUGAUUGAAAAUUCCCCUAACAAACCAGGAAGUUGACAAGGAAAACAAUUUAGAUAAACCUGUGACGAAAGUUCCAGAUAAGAGUCAAGGUUAUAUAUAUCAACUGAUGUAUUUUUGUAUGUUUGGAGAUACUUGAGUGAUACUUAUAAAUAAAAUGCACAAACUCAUAGUUUAAAAAAUUACAUAACAAAGCGAUUUAAAUGAUAUUAAUCCCCAGCCUAUCUAUCUAAAUGAAACAAAUAUUUUAAAAAAGAUUUAUAACUUAACCUGCAUACAAGUAAUGUGGUAUACAUAUGCGAUUUGCAAACCAAAAUUCACAUUAAACAAACUUCCGUUUGGGUUUGUUCCUGUGCCGUGACAAAAUAUAAAAUUUCCAUAUGGGUAUUUACCUCAUCUUAUCAGAUAUAUCAUUCAUUGUACUUUAUAACUAAUAAUUGGUAUGAUUUGAAAUUAUUUUUCUAAUUUAAGAGAAUGACGGCCACUUUAAAAAGAAACACAAUAAAAAAAAUAUAGCUAUAAGAAAAUUAGACAUACGAAUGGUUGCCUAUUUCAUAUAAGUUCAUAUUUAUAAAGUCAGAACACAUGGAUCAUUAUAUUCAUUUAUAGUAUCUAAGUUUAAAGAUGGAGUGCAAAGGUAGAAUAAUAUAUGUACUUUUCUUAUUCAUUUGACUAAACCUGUUUGAGAACCAGCAACCAAUUUAAGUCAAUAGACCUCUAUGUUUUCCGUUGAAUAAUUACUGACGGUAAAUGCUUAUUUAAAAGGCACAGACUUAAGGCUUAUAGCAACCAUCGUUCUGAUAAUUUUCUCAUAGAAAAUAUCUUGUUCGAUACAACUAACAUAAUUUUACUGAAUUAAUUGUAUAGUGUUCAGACAUUUUUUUUUUCAGAAUCUAUGGUUUUUGAACUGCCUUGAUAAAUCACCAUCGACGUUUGGAGAUAUUUUCGGAUAAGCAUUAGAUCGCUUAUCAUAUUACAUUGCAUAUAAAAAUAAACCAAGUUUAUCAACUCGGCAAUAUAUAUUGAAACCGCGUCAAUUUUCGAGGUUCCUAUACUUGAUUUAGAUGUUGGACUACCAACAUCAUAAAUUAUACCAAUAUACACAUUGCAACAUAAUAAAAGAGCUUCCUCAUCAGCUAGAUACUGGAGACUGAUUAAUUUCAUCAUAAAGAAACCCUUCUGCAUUAAGUAGUGUGUAGUGUAUUCAUAUCAAGUUUAGUACAAACUACUGGACAGAGAAGAAUCAUUAUUUUGGAGAUCACCAUAAAUCGAACGGUAAGUGGUCAGUUAAUCAAAUACAAUAUACAUGUAGAAACCACAAAAUUAAAUAUCAUAAAUUUUGAAAUAAAAGGAAAUCUAUUAAUAACAUAUUAAUGAUAUUAUACUAUAUCAUGAUCACCACUUGAACUGUUACUUUAGAAGUAUAAAAACUCUAAUCGUAUGAGAUUAGAAGGACUGUUAUUCAUGUCAUCUCCACCAUGCAUACCCAAAUCUAUGAAACCAAAUAUUUAAACUGUAUGUGAUCUGUGCACUCAGAUAUAUAACAGCAAAUACAAUGUUGGUUAUCGUUACAUGAAGCUUCGUGCUAGUAAUAUUCAUUAUGAUAAAUCAUUUAGCUACAUCAUUUGCAAUUGUUCGAACCUAUACACUAAACACUAGGCGUAUAAAUAGUUACCUUUACAUAUAUAAGUGGUAACGCUUUGAAAGAAUCAUAUGAACCAUAAAAUGACACUUCACGUGUGUUUCUGAAAUAUCCUCAUCACAUGAAGUCUUUACAAAUAGUUUCAGAAGUCAGGUUUUAGAAACUAUUGAGAGUGAACAUGUCAAACAUAAACAGUCUUUACAGUUAACAGAAAGCUCAAAAUAGUAUUUGUGUAGAUUCGUCACAUAUCCUUUCAUUUAUUACUAUGCAGAUUAACACUAUUCUAUUUCUUUCAUAGAUGCAGAUUAGGAAAGUUAUGUUGUUGUUUUAUUGUACAAUGCUGAUAAAUGUGAUAAAUGGAACAAGAGGUAGGUUGAAUAUAUAUUUGACUACAUCCUUGUUAGUAAAAACUGCACUAAAAUGGUGCUUUUUGUAAUAACAUGGAAACACUGAAUAAUGAAUUAGUUCGAAAUACAGAAAGAGUAUUUUAGUUUUCGAAGACAUAAACUUUGAUUAUUUCAGUGCUAUUCAAACCUAUUUCUUAUCAAAACAAUUAUAUCAGUUGCCAGACUAAAAUACUUGUACUUGUACCGUUUUAAAAGCAAAUCACUCUUUUCCCCUAAUUAUGCAUGUUUUAAAGAAACAAAGUUAAGCGAUAUCUGCAGAAGAUGUUCUGGUCGAAGAGAAUUUUUUUUUAUAUAACAAAAAUUAAUAUUUUAGUGAAGUGGGAAAUAUCAGAAGUUCCAGUUAUUUUUGGCAGAGAUGUUAAGCUAACUUGCAAAAUAUCGGACACAAAACACAAAACAAGCCACUGGAGGAGACGAAUGUGGUUUGGUGGACCAGAUUACAAAACAUUGUCCCUCGACGGAAAAUCACCGAAUAUAUCGAAAUACGUAACUUGGAACGAAGAACAUAGUUUCAGCUUGAUUAUAAAGUCGUUAUCUCCAGAGGAUGUUAACUAUUACUAUAGAUGUUCAUAUGGGUUUUAUGAAUAUAGAAAAAAGCUUGAAAUCAACAGUGAUUUUGAAAGUAAGUACAGCAAUUUAAUAUCUAAAAACUUGUGUAUUGUUGGUUUUUUAAGUGGUUUGUGGUUUAGAUAGCUAUACAACCAAGUUCAGUCCACCAUUUUCUACAUUAUAAUACGCCGCUGCUAAGUUGGGAAUAUUACAGUUGUUAUCCAUUCAUUUGAUGUGUUUGAGCUUUUGAUUUUGCCAUUUGGUUGGAGACUUUCCGUUUUAGAUUUUCCUCGGAGAUCAGGUCUAAUAACUUAUAGCAUAUACUUGGUUUCAGGGUUUAUAUUAGUUAGCUUUACCAUGAUACGUUUACAAACUCAUCACUCAACAACUUCCUGUUUACUUAACACUUGUAUUAUUAAACACAUGACAGCAAAGUUGAAUUAGUUAUCAAAGGUACCAGGAUUAUAACUUAGUACGCCAGACGCGCGUUUCGUCUGCAUAAGACUCGUCAGUGACUCUCAUAUUAAAAUAUUUAUAAAGCCAAACAAGUACAAAGUUGAAGAGCAUUUACGAUCCAAAAUUCCUAAAAGUUGUGCCAAAUAUGACUAAGGUAAUCUAUGCCUGGGAUAAGAAAAUUCUAAGUUUUUAGAACAUAUUCAUCGAAUUUUCCUACAACACAAGGAUUUCUGAAAUUUGGUUUCAGGGUUUAUAUAAGUCAGCGUAUACCAUGUUAUGUAAUUUUAAAUUCAUCACCAAACAACUUGCUGUUAACCAAACACUUGUAUUAUUUUGUACGUAUGAUAUCAAAUUAAACAAUUUCGUCACAGUUUCUCAGAAACUAUAAAACAAGUAUUUCUGAAAUUUGGUUUCAGGGUUUAUGUAAGUCAGCUAUUCCGACCGUGUGAUGCGUUUUCAGAUUCAUAACUCAACAACUUCAUAUUUACCGAAAUAUUUGGGCAGGCUAUCAUCAGUGAGCAGAAGCUCUCAGUUUUACUUGUUUUAUAUAUUCUGACAUAUCAAAUUUGCCAAAUGUCAAUUCUAGCACUGGAUUUAUAUAGUUUCUGGUAAACUGUAAGUCUCCUAAUGAUAUAAUUAAUUUAGAUAUCAAUGCUUUUCCGCCGAAAUGAUUCAUUAAAUGCAUUUCUUAUUAUUUCUAUUGAUAAAUUUAAAACGUGUGAAUUUAAAAUAUAAUUUUCAAACAUCCAUUUUGAAUAUUAAGGUAAUCUAGAGAAAUUCCACUAAAUUUACAAGGUGUUAUAAUUCUAAAGCGGAUUUCGUAAUUUAGAAUCUUAUGCAGGCUUAAUGUUUGUAAAGACAAAAUAGAUGCAAAACCAAUAAAAACAAUGUAUAUAAUUAUCCUAUGUAAUGUAUGGGUUUACGUUAAUGUGCUUUCCUUUGUGUUGAUCUAUAAACAUACACGUUCCCAUUUUAUAGUGUGUAUGCUAUUUGUUUAUAGUAUAACUAAUUAAUUCUCUCUCUUUCAAGAUCUUCUAAUGAACAGCACAACGAAAGUAACUGACAGUUUCAUGAAUAAUGUAUUACAAGUAAACUUACAGUUACUGAAUGUUUAUCCAAUACCAAACUGUACUGUCUUCUAUAGGGUAUGUUAUUGGUUAUAUAUUUUCUGUCAUUUAAAACUGUAAAACAGUGAAUGAUAAGAUUAAUCAAGUGUAUAUCACAACUGUUCAUAACUGUUGUUUGGAAAGUCUUGGAAAUUAUUCAAAGGAAAAACAAAAGAUAUUGAAUAAGAUUUUUUUUUAAAGAAUUCGACAGGAAAUAGCUGGUACCGAAUGUUUACAAAUAUAUUUCUCCAAAAAGUCAAACAACAUAAAGAACCCAGAACAAAAUCAGUUGAUCAAACCAGUUUUAAGAUCAGGCAAUUCUUUUGAAGUUAUCAGCGCUAUAUCAUCUAAAAGAUUGGCAGUGGUGCCAAUUUGGCAUCACCUAAAGGAACACACGUUUAAGAUUCACACCUAUAGAAAUAAGUAAAUGUUAAUAAUUGUAUACCAACAUACACGUAUUUUUAAAAGAUAACUUUUAUCGUCUAGGACAAGGAUCUUUCAUCGAACAUAACAGCCAAUAUAACAAAGGACCAGCUGUUUUACAAUACUGAAUUCAACUUGAAUUACAGUGUUUGAGCUAAAAAAUAUGGUACAUUGAAAGUCACCUGUACCGUUGGAACUUCUCCGUGUGAGCUUAUAAAUAAAAAUAUACAUGACAAACAUAAUGGU
rnacentral:lncRNA from 1 species